AUGAAGCAUCCAUCCGGUUCUUCAGCUGGCAGUUAAUCACUCAGCCGGGAUUCGGCCUAUCAGCAGUUGUAAUCACAAGUCUCUGAACAGAGGGCCUUUCCCAUCAUCUCCCAGGUGGCCUCUUCAAAGGCAAUGUACACUUCAGGGAUCAAAAAUCACUCCUUUGUCCAGCAAAAUACAGCCUUCAGCAUCUCAUAGAGGGCACUUGCUCAUCCUUGGCUUUGCUUUGCUUCCCAAUGUCAACAAUUCCUCUGUGGCUGUGUGCAGCCAUUUCUGUCAGGAGAGCAGAGGGGAGCUGUGCCAUGGAGCUGUGAGCUCCAGCUGCAGAGAGCACUGCAGGAGUCUGCUGCAAGGAGCAGUGCUGGAAGCCCCAGGUGGGCAGUGAGAGGCAUGGGGAGGUUGGAGGGGGAGGAGUGAAAUUGUCCAUUCAAUGUCAACCCCUAAGGGGCAGCUUCUCCUGCCAGUGCAGACCUCCUGGGCUGGAAUCAUUGUUGAAUUCUCCCCUCUGCUCUAGACUGAAAAGCAAUCAAAUAUUACACUUGUGGCAGAACCAAAUGAGCUUCGUAGGUGCACUUGGACAGCUUGGAGAGAGUUCCAGAGACACAAACAGCUCCUGAUGGCACCUGGGGCUCAUUACAGCAACCUCAGGCAGUGAGAGGAGCCUGAAGAAACUGCUCAGGAAGUCAGAAGCAAAACCUCAACUACCUUGAAGCAUUGAUUGGCCUCACUGAGGGUUGUUACUGACAAAGCCUCCCAGGGCCUCAUUAGAGCAGCUCAAAGGGGCCAUGGCUGCAGGCAAACAAAGGCACAGUGCAGGGCAGCAAACUCUGAGCUUGGUUUGUGAAGCAGAAAGGCCAAGCCCUGACCCUGAGGCCUUGCAAAGGCAGAUCCUGAGACUCUCCAAAUAAAGUUUCAUCUCAGCUGCCAUGGAAGCAGAAGCUACUUCCAGAGCUGAGGGGACAAAGGCCUCAAUCCUCUUGGGCCUUUCAGCCUGGCCAGAGCCUUUGGCCAUCCCUACCUGUCAUAGAGGGCCUGUAGUCCCAAAUAGAGGCUUGCUUAUGCCUUGCCUUGCCUUGCCUGGACAUGUUCUUCUGCCAGGACCCCUGGUUGUAAUCAAGUUGUGUAAGCCCCCACACACCCAGCUCGUGUCUCCCUGGGUUAAACCCAUGUGAUCUCCAUAUUUGGGAAAGUCUAGGCAAGAGCCUUCUGCCCAUUAUGGUAAGGUUUGGCUGACUGCCAACCUGAUUGGUCAUUCUAGUGGCCAAAGGAGCCAUUAAUCUUUGCUCCCAUUCAAUAAAUAGGGGUGCACAGGUAAACAACGUGGUCUGACCCUACAUGCAGCUCAGCUCAGACCUGCAGGCACAGACCUUGCAUAGCUCAGCCACUCAGAUAGCUCAGAGGCUCAGACCUCAUGCUUUGACUUAUUUGCAGGUCACCUGCCUGCGUACCUUAGAUGCAAAGCUCAUUUAAGCCUGCACAUUUAUAUAUAAGGAGCCUAUAGCCUCCUAAGACAGCUGUGCACAUUUGCACACUAUUGCUACUAGGACCAGAUCCUGCAUUGCCUUUACCUGCGGAGCUCAGACUCCCAACAGCCGCACACACUUUGCAUGCCUGCUGCCUAUCAUUGCCUAGUAAGCACCAUUGCCUCUGAGAAAACCAGGAAGCAGAUUCUGGACUGUCUGCACACACACACGGCCUGAAGCCAUGAACAACCAUUCUCCUGCUCCUGAGAUCCUGCCAGCUCAGAAUCCCUGGACACAGCAUCCAGAAGAAGCCAGGAGCACCAAGGCAGAGAUCAUCCCUCGCCAGGAGAACAAAGGUUAGAGAAAACCUAUUUCCCCACAAACUGGGAAGAUUCAUCUUUGCCCCUCAAGCCAGGAAGAUUCCAGCCUCCAAGUCCAUGGGUAGAGACCCCUGAAGAAUUGGACACUAGGCACAGGCUGUGACACAGCCCCAGAGGGUGAUUAAUAAUUGAUAAAGAGUUGUGAGUAAAAGCUUCAAUACCUCUGUAAAUAUAAGUGCCUCUGCCAUAGAGCAGAAAGAGUUCCAGCCUGCUCUGCUGGGCAAACAGCAUAAAGAUCCCAAGCAGCAUUAAGCUGCAGGGAAAAUUCCUCUCUCUGUUUGUAGUUUGAAUGUUUGCUGGUUAAAUAACAAAUCCUUGUACAUAUUUUAUCCUAAAUUGUUUUCAUAAGUGUGUACGAACUUUAAUAUUAAUAAACAGUGGUUGGGGGUGGCAGAGUUCAAAAAUACUGAAUUUAAUAAAUAUAAUUUUUUAUAUAAAA